rnacentral:rRNA from 1 species
UUUUAUGGAGAGUUUGAUCCUGGCUCAGAGUGAACGCUGGCGGCGUGCCUAAUACAUGCAAGUCGAACGAUGAAGCUUCUAGCUUGCUAGAAGUGGAUUAGUGGCGCACGGGUGAGUAAGGUAUAGUUAAUCUGCCCUACACAAGAGGACAACAGUUGGAAACGACUGCUAAUACUCUAUACUCCUGCUUAACACAAGUUGAGUAGGGAAAGUUUUUCGGUGUAGGAUGAGACUAUAUAGUAUCAGCUAGUUGGUAAGGUAAUGGCUUACCAAGGCUAUGACGCUUAACU